AGCAGCACAUAUCCGACAUAGAAGAGGUGUUCGCCACCCUACAAAAAUAUCGGAUGAAGCUCAACAUAUAAAAAUGUGUAUUCGGUGUAGCUUUGAAAAAAAUUUUGGGCUUCAUGAUCACUCACCAGGGGAUAGAAGCAAACAUCGAUAAGAUCCAGGCCUUGGCAGUAAUGGAAUCGCCCAGAACUAAGAAAGAGGUACAAAAAUUGACAGGGAGGGUAGCAGCCAGGUUCAUGUCCCGAG
rnacentral:lncRNA from 1 species